rnacentral:rRNA from 1 species
UUGGAGGGCAAGUCUGGUGCCAGCAGCCGCGGUAAUUCCAGCUCCAAUAGCGUAUAUUAAAGUUGUUGCCGUUAAAAAGCUCGUAGUUGAACCUUGGACCUGGCUGAUCUGUCCUCCUAAUCGAGCGUACGGAUUCGGUCGGGUCUUUCCUUCUGGGGAACCCUAUGUCCUUUAUUGGGUGUAGUGGGGAACCAGGACUUUUACCUUGAAAAAAUUAGAGUGUUCAAAGCAGGCCUUUGCUCGAAUACAUUAGCAUGGAAUAAUAGAAUAGGACAUCGGUUCUAUUUUGUUGGUUUCUAGGACCGCUGUAAUGAUUAAUAGGGAUAGUCGGGGGCGUCCGUAUUCAAUUGUCAGAGGUGAAAUUCUUGGAUUUAUUGAAGACGAACUACUGCGAAAGCAUUCGCCAAGGAUGUUUUCAUUAAUCAGUGAACGAAAGUUAGGGGAUCGAAGACGAUCAGAUACCGUCGUAGUCUUAACCAUAAACUAUGCCGACUAGGGAUCGGACGGUGGUUUUUUUAUGCCCCGUUCGGCGCCUUACGGGGGAAAC